AAGAUUUUAAGUUAAUUAAACUAAUAGCCUUCAAAGUUAUAAAUAUAAAUAAAAAUUUUUAAGUCUUA
rnacentral:tRNA from 1 species